AUCCAGCUGACGAGUCCCAAUUAGGACGAAACGCAAGUCAAACUGGAU
rfam:Schistosoma rodhaini strain Burundi genome assembly, scaffold: SROB_scaffold0007249